GACGAACGCUGGCGGCGUGCCUAAUACAUGCAAGUAGAACGCAGUUGCGAACGGGUGAGUAACGCGUAGGUAACUGCCUCAUAGCGGGGGAUAACUAAUGGAAACGAUAGCUAAUACCGAAUACUGUGAGAUGGACCUGCGUUGUAUUAGCUAGUUGGUGAGGUAAAGGCUCACCAAGGCGACGAAACAUAGCCGACCCGGGAGGGUGAGCGGCGACACUGGGGAUGAGACGAGGACCAGACUCGUACGGGAGGCAAAAGUAGGGGAAUUUUGGCAAUGGGCGGAAAUCUUACCGGGCAACACCACGGAAGUGAAGAAGGUUUUCGGAUCGUAAAUCUCUGUUAUUAGAGGAGCGGUAACUAACCAGAAAGGGGCGGCUAGCUACGUGCGAGCAGCCGCGGUGAUUC
rnacentral:rRNA from 1 species